UACGUAGGUGGCAAGCGUUGUCCGGAUUUACUGGGCGUAAAGGGCGUGCAGGCGGUUUGUUAAGUCUAGGGUGAAAGCUCCCGGCUCAACUGGGAGAGGUCCUUGGAUACUGGCGAACUUGAGGGAUGCAGAGGAAAGUGGAAUUCCCGGUGUAGUGGUGAUAUGCGUAGAUAUCGGGAGGAACACCGGUGGCGAAGGCGGUUCUCUGGGCAUGUCCUGACGCUGAGGAGCGAAAGUGUGGGGAGCGAACAGG
rnacentral:rRNA from 1 species